rnacentral:miRNA from 1 species
GAACAAGACCUCUGAGUGCACCACUUUACUUCUGGUUUAUAUAUAUCCAAAAGUAAAGAGGUGCACUCAGAGGUCUUGUUCAAUGUGUUU